rnacentral:rRNA from 1 species
AGAGUUUGAUCCUGGCUCAGGAUGAACGCUAGCGGCAGGCCUAAUACAUGCAAGUCGGACGGGAUCCAUCGGAGAGCUUGCUCGAAGAUGGUGAGAGUGGCGCACGGGUGCGUAACGCGUGAGCAACCUACCUCUAUCAGGGGGAUAGCCUCUCGAAAGAGAGAUUAACACCGCAUAACAUCAACAGUUCGCAUGUUCGGUUGAUUAAAUAUUUAUAGGAUAGAGAUGGGCUCGCGUGACAUUAGCUAGUUGGUAGGGUAACGGCCUACCAAGGCGACGAUGUCUAGGGGCUCUGAGAGGAGAAUCCCCCACACUGGUACUGAGACACGGACCAGACUCCUACGGGAGGCAGCAGUAAGGAAUAUUGGUCAAUGGGCGGAAGCCUGAACCAGCCAUGCCGCGUGCAGGAUGACUGCCCUAUGGGUUGUAAACUGCUUUUGUCCAGGAAUAAACCUAAAUACGUGUAUUUAGCUGAAUGUACUGGAAGAAUAAGGAUCGGCUAACUCCGCGCCAGCAGCCGCGGUAAUACGGAGGAUCCGAGCGUUAUCCGGAUUUAUUGGGUUUAAAGGGUGCGUAGGCGGCCUAUUAAGUCAGGGGUGAAAUACGGUGGCUCAACCAUCGCAGUGCCUUUGAUACUGAUGGGCUUGAAUCCAUUUGAAGUGGGCGGAAUAAGACAAGUAGCGGUGAAAUGCAUAGAUAUGUCUUAGAACUCCGAUUGCGAAGGCAGCUCACUAAGCUGGUAUUGACGCUGAUGCACGAAAGCGUGGGGAUCGAACAGGAUUAGAUACCCUGGUAGUCC